rnacentral:lncRNA from 1 species
GGAGCAUUAAUUAAUUAUAGAUAUAAUAAUAUAAAAUAUGGCUAGAUAGAGCAUGUCUCUGCUUUUGAGGAUUUUUCUCUACCUUUUCGUUUUCUUAUUAUUAUUUUUUGCCAAAAGGAUGGAAAUUGGUUUUCCAAAAAAAAAAGAGAAGGUCUUGAAUUGGAUCCCAUGGCCGUCUGCAAACAGAAUCUAGCUAGUCCAGUGGCGGGCGGGCGUGGGCGUCAGUGAGAGGGAUGUAUGGCUUCUUUUCUUUGAAAAGUGAGUAGCAAGCAAACAAAACAAAAGGAGAUUCGUGACCUCACCUCACCACCGAUGGAGUGGAAUGGAAUGGAAAGCAGGAGCGCAGCGUCUCCACCGCCGACGCCACACAAUUUCCAUCACCAACUCAAACUGCUGCUGCGUUUUGCCUGCUUCAAAUAGAUAUUUCUCUUCCUCCUGGCCUUCUUUAUCAAAAAAAAAUAUUUCUCUUCUUCCUUGAAAGAAAUAUUUUCCGAUUUUCCGGUCACAAUCCGGAUUGUCCAACCUCCGAUCCCUAGCACACGCCUUCCCAUCCGUUCCCCUCCACCACUUGCGCCGCCGUAUCUCCCUAUCUCUAAAAGGUUUGUGGAGGCGUGGUCCAUGGCGGCGCCCAUGAAGGGGGAAGGAGCACCCCCUUCCAAGUGGAGCGUGAAGACGAGGAGCUGCAGGCGGAAGAGGCCAGCCUCUGCUUGCGCACACACCAGCCCCAGCUGCCCCUUGUGCCUACCUACGUGCA